GCCCGCCGGGCGCCGAGCGCAUCGCCCCGCUCUCGCACUCACUCUCGUGCGCAGGCCCCGCAGCCGCCGCGAUCGGAGGCGGUGCUCGGCCAGGAGCCCGGCAGGGGCCGGAGAGCAGAGACGACUGGCCGCCCUGAGCGCAAUUCAAUUCAACAGACAUUUACUGAGUGCCUACUAUGCGCCAGGCCUUAGGCUAGGCACUGGG
rnacentral:lncRNA from 1 species